rnacentral:rRNA from 2 species
UGGGGAAUAUUGCGCAAUGGGGGAAACCCUGACGCAGCGACGCCGCGUGAGCGAAGAAGGCCUUAGGGUUGUAAAGCUCUGUUUUAGGGGACGAAUGUUCAUAGGAGUAAUAUGCCUGUGAAAUGACGGUACCCUAAGAGGAAGCCCCGGCUAACUACGUGCCAGCAGCCGCGGUAAGACGUAGGGGGCGAGCGUUGUCCGGAAUUACUGGGCGUAAAGAGCACGUAGGCGGGAACCUAAGUCAGGUGUGAAAGACCGUGGCUCAACCACGGGGUGGCAUUUGAAACUGGGUUUCUUGAGGGCAGGAGAGGAAAGCAGAAUUCCUGGUGUAGCGGUGAAAUGCGUAGAAAUCAGGAGGAAUACCAGUGGCGAAGGCGGCUUUCUGGACUGACCCUGACGCUGAGGUGCGAAAGCGUGGGUAGCAAACAGG